rnacentral:rRNA from 1 species
UACGAAGGGGGCUAGCGUUGCUCGGAAUCACUGGGCGUAAAGCGCACGUAGGCGGCUUCUUAAGUCAGGGGUGAAAUCCUGGAGCUCAACUCCAGAACUGCCUUUGAUACUGGGAGACUUCGAGUCCGGGAGAGGUGAGUGGAACUGCGAGUGUAGAGGUGAAAUUCGUAGAUAUUCGCAAGAACACCAGUGGCGAAGGCGGCUCACUGGCCCGGUACUGACGCUGAGGUGCG